ACCUGGCUGGCUCAGUGGGUAGAGCCUGCGACUCUUAAUCUCAGGGUUUUGAGUUCGAGCCCCAUGAUAGGUG
rnacentral:tRNA from 1 species